rnacentral:rRNA from 1 species
AUUGAACGCUGGCGGCAUGCCUUACACAUGCAAGUCGAACGGUAGAGGGGCAACCCUCGAGAGUGGCGAACGGGUGAGUAACGCAUCGGAACGUGCCCAGUCGUGGGGGAUAACACUUCGAAAGAAGUGCUAAUACCGCAUACGACCUGAGGGUGAAAGCGGGGGAUCGCAAGACCUCGCGCGAUUGGAGCGGCCGAUGUCAGAUUAGGUAGUUGGUGGGGUAAAGGCCUACCAAGCCGACGAUCUGUAGUUGGUCUGAGAGGACGACCAGCCACACUGGGACUGAGACACGGCCCAGACUCCUACGGGAGGCAGCAGUGGGGAAUUUUGGACAAUGGGCGCAAGCCUGAUCCAGCCAUGCCGCGUGCAGGAAGAAGGCCUUCGGGUUGUAAACUGCUUUUGUCAGGGAAGAAAUCUUCUGGGCUAAUACCCCGGGAGGAUGACGGUACCUGAAGAAUAAGCACCGGCUAACUACGUG